GACGAACGCUGGCGGCGUGCUUAACACAUGCAAGUCGAACGGAAAGGCCCUGCUUUUGUGGGGUGCUCGAGUGGCGAACGGGUGAGUAACACGUGAGUAACCUGCCCUUGACUUUGGGAUAACUUCAGGAAACUGGGGCUAAUACCGGCUAGGAGCUCCUGCUGCAUGGUGGGGGUUGGACAGUUUCGGCGGUUGGGGAUGGACUCGCGGCUUAUCAGCUUGUUGGUGGGGUAGUGGCUUACCAAGGCUUUGACGGGUAGCCGGCCUGAGAGGGUGACCGGCCACAUUGGGACUGAGAUACGGCCCAGACUCCUACGGGAGGCAGCAGUGGGGAAUAUUGCACAAUGGGCGGAAGCCUGAUGCAGCAACGCCGCGUGCGGGAUGACGGCCUUCGGGUUGUAAACCGCUGUCGCCUGUGACGAAGCGUGAGUGACGGUAAUGGGUAAAGAAGCACCGGCUAACUACGUG
rnacentral:rRNA from 1 species